CCUCCGUUCUCCCCGCACAGGAGAACGGAACGAGGCCGCAGGCGCUCUCUGCCCUGACUGCGCCGAGGCCUCCGAUCGACCGGUCCCAGGACGGGACCGUGCCCCCACCGCACACGGGGGCGCCUUCCGCCCGUAGGGCGGGACCGGCCGAUGUCAGCUCCGGGCUGCGGUGCCGGACAGGUUGAGGGUCCUGUCCCGGCGC
rfam:Streptomyces auratus AGR0001 genomic scaffold Scaffold1, whole genome shotgun sequence.